rnacentral:tRNA from 1 species
GGCUGAAUAGCUCACGCAGGAGAGCACACGCCUGAAGAGCGUGAGGGAAGGGUGCAACUCCCUGUCAGCCACCA